GGAAGAGCCCAAACCAACAAGCUUGCUUGUUGGGGUUGUAGGACUCCAAUAUGGUAGUCUGUUAGUAUAGUUGAAGGAUUUGGAAAAUUCCGCUAAAGAGGGUGAAAGCCCCGUAGACGAAAUGCUGGCAACACCUAGGAGGAUCCUGAGUACGGCGGAACACGAGAAAUUCCGUCGGAAUCCGCGGGGACCAUCCCGCAAGGCUAAAUACUCCCUAGUGACCGAUAGUGAACCAGUACCGUGAGGGAAAGGUGA
rnacentral:rRNA from 1 species